rnacentral:lncRNA from 1 species
AAGGAUGGGAGGAGAAUAGAUUGUUGUUGUUUUUUCUCUCUACUCAGACACCUCUGGCAUAUCCUUCCAUUAACAAUUCAUUUGCUGCUGUUGUUUUCCUGGCUGAGUGCCUAAAUAUUCUUUGUGUUGUUCUAGAUAUGUAUUAGGAGUAGAUGGCAAAAAUCCACAACAUGCAGGUAGCUCCUGUCAUGCAGCCUGGGACACCUCAGUCAUCUUACUUAUUUAUCACAGCCCCCCAUCUUUAGCACUGAAAUAUCCUUCUUGAGCUGGGGACUCUGCGUUUGUGCCUCCACCACUCCAUCAUCACAGGGAAUGUCCAUCUUACAUGGUCUAUAUACCACAUAUAUCAAAGCUUGUUUGUCCUAGUUGCUGUAACGACCUAUGUUCUGAACAAAUAAAAUCCGUCUUAUUCUUUUAGUAGGAAUAGGUAAAGGGUACAGGGACCCCUGACCAUUAUUAGGUCCUGUCGUGACCGACUCUGGGGUUGCGGCACUCAUCUCGCUUUAUUGGCUGAGGGAGCCAGCGUACAGCUUCCGGGUCAUGUGGCUAGCAUGACUAAGCCGCUUCUGGCGAAUCAGAGCAGCGCACGGAAACGCCGUUUACCUUCCCGCCAGAGCGGUACCUAUUUAUCUACUUGCACUUUGACGUGCUUUCGAACUGCUAGGUGGGCAGGAGCAGGGACCGAGCAACGGGAGCUCACCCCGUCGCGGGGAUUCAAACUGCCGACCUUCUGAUUGGCAAGUCCUAGGCUCUGUGGUUUAACCCACAGCGCCACCCGUGUCCCACCCGUUGCACACUAAAAUGGAACGCUAACCUGUAAAUUGAAACGCUAUUUUACUUCCAAGGAAAGGAGCAGGGGAAAUGAGCUGCUAAGAAUAACGAUAAGAGAAGAUAAUCAGUGAAUGAAGAAAAUAGUGUUCCCUGUUCCCUGUAGCCUUUUAGAAUUCUCAAUUGGGACAGCAUCGCAUGAUGGGGUUUCUCUGUUUCUCAGACCCUUCAGGGACACAGUAGCAUACGAAAUGUAUAUCAUCACAGAAAUUUCACCUCAAGCGAAAUUCAAAGCAAACAAUUUUUUUGUGUUGGUGGAUCGCACAGGGGCAUUUGGAUACUAUGUUAUAAGAUAAGGGGCUCCUGCUUUAAUUGCAACUGCUUAAAUGCCUUAAUUAGUACAAUAUUCUCCGGUGCAGAUGUUCAACACUGUUUUCCUUGUUUUCCUACUUCAUCUUAGCCGGAGAAUUCAUUCCCUCUCUCCCCCACCAUGUUCUGCCAACUCCAUCUUUCCACUGAGAUAAUGCCCACUGAUACUGAAAAGAAGAAGGGGACUUUCCCACAUGCCAAAGGCAUUUUCCAUGAACUUGAGACAUGCCUUCUUAUGAAUGCUUUAGUGUCCUCAAGUUGAUAGGCCUGCCGCUGCUUAUGCAGAAAACCACAUGAUCCUGAGUUCCCAGGACUGCACCAUUUUAAGUGGGGAAGAAAGUUUUUAAAUUCUUUUCCCACUUUGAAAAUUUCCUUCCUGUUAAAAGCCAGCAUAUCAAAAACAAUAUUCUAUCCUAGCCUUCCUCUUGGCUAUGUUUCUGUGAAUGAGCAUUCAGUUCCCUUUCUGCAGUCUGGAACGGGACGGGCCUGGGUGGAAAUUUCAGACCAUGUUAUUUUCUGCAUCUGUAGCUUGGUUUCUUUCCUUUGCGUCUGGGCUACAUUUACAUGAAAAGAAAUUUGCCCAAUUCAGAUUUCUGGUAUGAACCUUUAAGACAGUAAAUGGUUUGAGACGGGAUUGCUAAAAAGACUGCCUGCACCCAUAUGAGACUGCACGCAAUAUGCAAGGUUUUGCUUGGAAUAUUUUGCAUUAGUCUCCCAUCAGAGAAAUACUCUGCCUGCCUUGCAGCGGCCUUUUCCUGCCAAUUGCGCCUGAGUGAAGCCUUAUGAAACAGCUUUCUUCACAUAAAAGCAAAAGCCUUUUAGCUGUCAUUUCUGAAUUCUCCCCCUGCCCACCUUGCCAAGCGCUUAGCCUCUUAACACUCUCAAAGCUAUCUCAGCUUAAACUAGCCCCCCCCCCCUUUUCUUUCAUUCAGACCAGACCAAGGACAGGGAAGUCAGCGUGAUUUUACUACUGAAAAGCCAUGAUAACUGAGGACAUCGCCGCAACCCCCGCUUCGUCUUUUUCCAGCCUUAUGCUGUAAAAUAUUUUAAACAACCUGUCAUUUAAAGCAAUAUAUUCUCCUAUCCUCCAUGUUUUUAAGUAGCUUUCAAAGUAGCAAAUAGUAAUUCAUGCCCUCUGUUGAUAAUCCCUGUAGGGUUUCAGCAGGCAGGUGUUUUAACUACAAUCUCUUCUACGGUUCGUUUCAAGUCAUGGUAAAAAGUAUCCUGUAGAAUACCAUGACCCCUUUCUUCAAACCUUCGUAUUUUCUAGUUCACUGAUUCCCCAGCCCUUCCAUUCCUUUCCCUUUGCAUCUAAACAUUGGCACAACACUCCUAAGAUACAAUUUCCUUUUAUCCUUUCUGAUUGCCAAUGGGGUUUGAAUCCUCCUUAGGACACUUGAAGAAAUGAUAUUUUGCUAUAUGCCUUGGGUAGGGUUUUUUUUUAACAUGACUCUACUGUGUGUAAUUAAUCAUCUUGCAUCAAGUCAUUAAAAGUAAUUCAAUAUGAGAAUCACAGAAUUGUAGAGUUGAACGGAACCACGAGGGUCAUCCAAUCCAAAGCAGAAUUACAACUUUAAAAAAACGAAUAUAUUAUUCAUGUCAGUUCAUAAAAUGGAAACAGUUGUGUCUAAGAAUAUAGAAAUGCGGGCUAAUACAAACCACGAACUUUGCUUAAAUGUUGACCAACAUUUAUGUAUUUUUUCCUGUGUGUUCUUUGCUAUCCUUUUAUCCUGGAUUUCUAACGAUGCCUAACUUGUGAAAGUUUCCCAAGUUUUCAAACUGUGCACUUUCAAUAUUGCUUUCUCGUGUUCCAAAUUAAUUCAUUAAAUAACAUUUCAAUAUUUUUGGCUUUUCCUCACAUUUGGUAACAUGGAUUGUUGUCACUGUUCCCAUACUUUGCAGCUGGGCCAUAGGAUUGGCUGGGUCUCCACCAACAAUCUUGCCACAUUUCGUUCUUAUUUCUGCUGGUCACCACCCCUCAAAUCAUCUUUGUACAUCUCUGGUACAUGCAGGCCUCCUGGAAUUUCUUAUAUUGCAUAUAUGCUCAGUGCUUAUAUUCUUAUUAACAAAUGCUAUAUUUUUGCAAUUGUACCUAUGUGUCCAUAUUUUCUCCUAGCAGAAUUUGACACCAUUUCCUUUACCCUCCUCCCCGAAAGAAACAUCAGAGGAACAUUGAGCUGGCAAUUUGAUAUAGCUGUUUUAUGAGAUUAUAAAAUAACCAAGUGCUGUACUUAACUAAUGGAUGAGAGGGAUAAUUGUUUCAUUUGUCAUCAACCAAUGUGCAUUUGUACAGUCACUUUCCAUCCUUGCUGGUGAAAUGUCUAGGUAUUUUGGUUUGGGAGCUGGAAAAAUGUGAUAGCCACACACAAAAAUGGAAAGUAUUGGUUACUUAGCAAACUGAUCACCAAUAACAGCACUGCCAUGAACCAUCUUUCAUAUCAGAGGUACUUCCACUAUUCCGAGUAGAAUUGUGCCUGUUUCUGCCUUGAUGUCUUGGUCUUUUCAGCGAAGAGGUCUAUGCACGGCCCAUUAAUUUCCUAUCAACGUAGGGUUAGUGGGUCCCAGAAGAUCCCUUUAUUGAUGUUUGGCAUUUCCCCAGGUCCCCGCGCAGCAUGAAACAUCACUUUACUUCAUUAUCUUUUUUGAAGGAGGUUUUAUUGGAGGAUAUACAAUUCCUUUAAUGAUGUUUGCCAUGUUAUUUUUACCUUCAUCUGUUAGUUUGUUUAGCUAAUAGUUAGAUCUUCCUACACUUUAAAGCUCAUACUUAUGCAUGAAAUAUUAAUGGUAGAAAUAAUGAUCCACUGUUAAUGUUUCCAAUUAUGAGAAGAAAGGAUUCAGGAAAAACAAUACUGAUAUUAUUUUUAUAAUAUUAUAAAUAAAUGUUGGAGUAAGUGCUGCACACACACACAGCCAUAAGAAAUAAAGUCCUUCCUAUAGCACACACAAACACAUCCUUCUGUUUGCUCAGGUUUAGGGUUUUGGUAGUUCAGUCAUAGUUUGUUAAAUAUGUGUGCUUUUUAAAUAUAAUUCUGAUCUCACCAAAACAAAUAUUUUAAAACAGAUACCACAUUAAUUUUCUUUAGCAGCUAAUUGGAUUGAUACUUUUAUCCCCAAACUUUAUUUCCUGAGGCACUUUGCAUAGUUACACAUACUCACAAGAUAAAUUGAUAAUUUCGUGGAUUAAACCUCGUUAAUGGAAUGAUUGCUACAAAUGCAUGAACUGACUGCUACAGCUGAGAUUUUAAUAAGCACAUUUUUAAAGUCCUCUUCAAUUAAUAACCUUGAUUGUAAAAUCUUGUAUCACCUAUUGUGAUUGUAGUGGGAAGCCCCUCACCCUUCUUAGUUCACCUAAUGUGAUGGUUUGGAAUAUCCAGUUGCUUAGGGAACAAAGCAGUUUCCAGUCCAGCUUCUGUAAGGAAAGAGAAAAUUGUUAGUUUGGAAUUAGAACCCCAGGCAGGUAUUGAGAACUGCUUCUGGGAUAUAGGGAAACUAUAGGACAGGGAGCCCAGAGGCAAAGAGCCUGAAGGAAGAGUACCAGUUAGGUAAAGGACUGAGGAAUACAUUGGGUUUGUGAGAGGCAUAUAAUUUCAGCAGAACUUGCCGCUUUAGUAAGUGUGAUUCAGAUUGCAGCUGAGAUGCUACUACAUUGGAGGUCAGAAGCUGCUACUCAGGUUUUUCGCAAGGGAGGGCUUCAUGCUGAACUAAUAAUAAAAUGAGUUGGAUUCCAGAAAGGCAAUCAAUAGACGUGGCAGUCAAUAGAAAGUAGUAUUUUUAAUAGGGUGGAACUAAAAAUAAUUUUUAAAAUACACGGGAAGUUACUCAUGGAAAAUACAUUGGGCUGUUGAAGCAGAUAAACCACUUUAUUAUUGGAAAUAAUAAUGGAAACACGGAUAAACUUUAGGCCUCGGUCCAUAAUCAAAGGUGAAUUGCAGACCGUACUGGUACACCCCAAUAUUAUUUUGAUUCAGACAUGAUUGUGCUGAUAAAUCAAUAACAGAAAGGUACAACUUACUCUUUAUUUUAGCACAUGCUGAAAAUAGAGAUGAUAAACAAGGUCUCUUUCUGUGUGUGUGUGUGUGUGUGUGUGUGCAGCUAGCUUUUGUAUAUUCUGUCACAUGGGCUUCCAGUAGACUUUCAUCCAAGGUACUGAUCUGAGCCACACUCAAAUGAACUCCAGCCGUUCUGUAGUAUUGGGUAUUCCCCUGGUCAAGAUUUAUAUAGAUAUAGAUAUUGAUAACCCUUCAGUGACAAUUAGUUCUCAGACAUUUUCUGGAUAGGAAGGUUGGUCUUCCUUCUCUACAAAAUAAUACUUUUUGUCCCAAAUCGUGGUAAAUGGAUAGAAAGGGGCUAGUUUUUCAGCAAAUAAGCUUAGCAUUGCAGGGAUUAAGGGGUGACUAAUGUUUUCACCAUUUCAAAUGUAAUAAUUUUCAAAGAAAACUAAGUACCACAUCAUUCCUAUUAAAUUGUCAUGCCUGACAUAAUGACAUUACACUUGUGAAUGAAAGAUAGCUUGCAUUUCUUAAUUUAUUGUGAUCAUAAUGCUUUUUAGAAUAAGAAAACCAGGAAGAGGAAAACAUUUAAAAAUUAGCUUGCAUGUUUAGGCUGCAGUCCUCUACUCACAUGGGAGUAAGAAUUGAACUCAGUAAGGCUUCCAUCUGAAUAGAAUAAGUUGUUAGGUUAUAGCUAUACAGUGGUACCUCAGGUUACAUACGCUUCAGGUUACAUACGUUUCAGGUUACAGACUCCGCUAACCCAGAAAUAGUGCUUCAGAUUAAGAACUUUGCUUCAGGAUGAUGGUGCUGCGGUGGCGCGGCAGCAGCAGGAGGCCCCAUUAGCUAAAGUGGUGCUUCAGGUUAAGAACAGUUUCAGGUUAAGAACGGACCUCCAAAACGAAUUAAGUACUUAACCCGAGGUACUACUGUACUGUAUUGAGCACAAUCCACUUGGAACUUCUGUUGCACAUCUUCCAUUAAUUUCAGGCUUUAUGCAACCUGAAGCAAUAAGGCUGCCCAUAUCUGACACAAACUCCAAAAAAUGUGAACUGGCCCGGACAGGGAGAAGAGACUUAGGAAUGCUGAACUGGAAGAUGAAGAUAGGUAUUGAGUUGCUUUUGUCUACAUUUCAAAUGCUGCUGUCAUCUAGAAAUUUCAGAAUUUCAUUUCACAUCUGUUGAGCUAUGACUGCACUUGAUGAAAAAUCCUUCACGGCCGAAGGAGCAAAUUAAAAAAAAAAAAUCGAUCAUAAGUUAAUGGAAGAAUAUGGAGCUGAGACAAGUGUCGCUGUAGUUUCCAGAGAAAAACAUCAUGGAGAGCAGCAAUGUUUUGUAGCCUUAGACCAAGUGGUGUUUGCUUUGGCACAAGCAGUUUAAAGCACUUGUCUUAUCGCUGGCUGUAUGCCUGGGCAUUGCAUUGUUCACUCGAAGACACAAAUAGUUCACGUACAGAACAGAACAUAAGCAGUGCCCCUAAAUGAAAGGGCAUUAUUACGGAUUCCUCUUUAUGUUCAAAUUACGAUGUCAAAGCUUGAACCUUUCCUAAAUUGCUUCAUAAAGACAAUGCAUAGCAAAUAUUCAAUGCAGACUUCAGAUGACCAGACUGCUCUUGACUCCAUGUUUAUAAAUAUCAAAGAAUCCCAAUACUGUUGUAAUAGAGGACAUUGAUGGGAACUUGCAUUUUCCACGUUUGCUCCUGGGCCAGGCUUGCACUCUGAUCCGAUCAGUAAGGGGGCUUUGCUUGCUGAAGUUCUCUGCCUGCAAUUUUCCUCUAGCUUUGUCUUGUUGGCAGGAUCUUUCUCUCCUCACCUGAUAGAAGCUGACAACAACUCAUAGCAUAUAAAUACUGUUUCUUGCAUUACUGUGAGAAGAGCUUACAGACUCCUCUUAGGGAGAUACGGCAAGCCUAUUUCUUCUUCCACUGUGAGGGCGAAGGAGGUGGAAGAGCAAAAAAAAGGUCUGUUCUAUAAACGCAUUGCCUGCACUUAACAUUAUGGAAAGGCACACCAGGCUUAUCAGGAAGCAUCAGAUUAGUAUUUAUGUGUACGUAAUGUGGAGAAUAACAAUACAUGAGCAAGUGUCUUGGAUUCUGAUUGGUUUGCCAUUUGAAUAAUUGACCUAGGUGGCAGCCAAGCAUGCUAAGCUGCAGAUGAGAGCACAUAAUGGGUGUCAAGGUCGCUCUUCCAGCAAUGGAAACCAUAAUGAGAAUGGGACCGUUGGGAUUAAGAUAUGCGACAUUGACAAAUCACCUUACACAUGCUCUCUUUAUGUUAUUUUAUUGAAAGAUAAUUUGUUUUCCUUUCUGCUGGAGUGCUUCAUGGGAGAGAAACUCAGCUGGAGUGAACUUUCACCUUUGCAGUGAGCCAGGAUGGUUUCGUCUGGGACAGAGUUUAUUUUGCAGAGCAGAUGCGUUAAAGUAUUGCAGAGUCAUUUCUGCUAGAAAGAUGCAAGAUCCUUUUGUAAGGAGGAAAAGGGGGCGAGUUUUUACUGCGAAAUAUAGAGCGUAUUUGCUAACUAAAUCCUAAUUUACCCUUUCGGUUAUGACUUCUAGGUUUGAUGGUUUUUCAGGUAAUACUCUACCUGCUCAAUCAGUGAUUUCACUACCGGCAGCCAGGUUGACAACCUUCGUGGAAGCCAUAUGACAAUUGUUUUAACAAAGAAGCCAACUUGGAUUAUAACUGACAAUAAUAAGCCUUAAGUAGGGACAAUGUCUCUAGCUUUCAGCCUUCUGUAAAGGCUUUCAGAAUUCCUAAAGACAAAGACUUUCAAAUAUAUUGAAUAUUUAAAUAAAUAAAUAUUAUUUAUUUUCCACGGAGGUAAUUCAGGAAGGAGAUAUCUAAAUCCUCCACCCUGAAUUAGAGAAUGCAUGAUAAGUAGGUCACCUGCAGCUUAGUAUUCUGCAAGACUUCUAUUUUCUUUUAAAUAUUCAAAAAAUAAUUUAGCAGAUAGGUGACAUAAAACACAACGUGUCGGGGAGAGGAUUGGGUGGGUUUUCAUUACCUGCAGAGCCAGUAAUGGUUUCUUUGAAAACUUUGCUUUCAAAUUAGAUUAUAUUUCUGUACGAAACAAACAUACCUGUUACAUAAGAUAAGAGACACAGUGUAUGACGAAUACCAAACCAGCAUUUUUACCAACUCAGCUUCUUCUAAGAAGUCAUAUAUUCUGAUCAUUUUCACAAAAAAGUUGCCAAACUUGCAUCUUUGAUUCUGUUAUGCUAGUUUGCUCGAAACAGUAAACCUGUUUAUGUCUGUAUAGAUAAGCAAAAAAUACAGGACAGUGUAGAUAAUAUCCUGUUAAAAUAGCUAGAUUUAUUUAUACAUUUAUGUUUAAAGCAUUUCUAUACUGACUUCCAUC